AACAGUUCGAAAGGAUUGCUAAUACCCCAUGUGGUCUUAGAGAUUAAAUGCCCUUUGACUAAAGGUGAAAACCGCUUUGGGAGGGACCUGCGUCCCAUCAGCUAGUUGGUAAGGUAACGGCCUACCAAGGCUACGACGGGUAGGGGACCUGAGAGGGUGGCCCCCCACACUGGCACUGAAACACGGGCCAGACACCUACGGGUGGCAGCAGUAGGGAAUAUUGCACAAUGGGCGAAAGCCUGAUGCAGCAACGCCGCGUGCACGAUGAAGGCCUUCGGGUCGUAAAGUGCUUUUCGGGGAGAUGAGGAAGGACAGUAUCCCCGGAAUAAGUCUCGGCUAACUACGUGCCAGCAGCCGCGGUAACACGUAGGAGGCAAGCGUUAUCCGAAUUUACUGGGCGUAAAGCGCGUGCAGGCGGUUCGGUAAGUUGGAUGUGAAAUCUCCUGGCUCAACUGGGAGAGGUCGUUCAAUACUGUCGGACUCGAGGAUGGUAGAGGGAGGUGGAAUUCCCGGUGUAGUGGUGAAAUGCGUAGAUAUCGGGAGGAACACCAGUGGCGAAAGCGGCCUCCUGGACCAUUCCUGACGCUCAGACGCGAAAGCUAGGGGAGCGAACGGGAUUAGACACCCAGGUAGUCUUAGCUGUAAACGAUG
rnacentral:rRNA from 1 species